GGCUACCACAUCCAAGGAAGGCAGCAGGCGCGCAAAUUACCCAAUCCCGAUACGGGGAGGUAGUGACAAUAAAUAACAAUACAGGGCUUUUCAGUCUUGUAAUUGGAAUGAGUACAAUUUAAAUCUCUUAACGAGGAACAAUUGGAGGGCAAGUCUGGUGCCAGCAGCCGCGGUAAUUUCAGCUCCAAUAGCGUAUAUUAAAGUUGUUGCAGUUAAAAAGCUCGUAGUUGAAUUUUAGGCCCGGUUGGACGGUCUGCCUUUGGGUUUGUACUGUCCUGACUGGGCCUUACCUUCUGGUGAGCUGUCGUGUUGUUUACUCAGCGCGGCAGGGAACCAGGACUUUUACUUUGAAAAAAUUAGAGUGUUUAAAGCAGGCAUUCGCUUGAAUACAUUAGCAUGGAAUAAUAGAAUAGGACUUUGGUUCUAUUUUGUUGGUUUCUAGGACCGAAGUAAUGAUUAAUAGGGAUAGUUGGGGGCAUUAGUAUUUAAUUGUCAGAGGUGAAAUUCUUGGAUUUAUGAAAGACUAACUUCUGCGAAAGCAUUUGCCAAGGAUGUUUUCAUUAAUCAAGAACGAAAGUUAGGGGAUCGAAGACGAUCAGAUACCGUCGUAGUCUUAACCAUAAACUAUGCCGACUAGGGAUCAGACAAGGAUAUUUUGACUUGUUUGGCACCUUAUGAGAAAUCAAAGUUUU
rnacentral:rRNA from 1 species